ACUAAAUAGAUACCCAGGUAGUCCACGCCGUAAACGAUGGAUGCUAGCCGUUGGCGGGUUUACUCGUCAGUGGCGCAGCUAAACGCAUUAAGCAUCCCGCCUGGGGAGUACGGUCGCAAGAUUAAAACUCAAAGGAAUUGACGGGGGCCCGCACAAGCGGUGUAGCAUGUGGUUUAAUUCGAAGCAACGCGCAGAACCUUACCAGCCCUUGACAUGUCCCGUAUGGACUUCAGAGAUGAGGUCCUUCAGUUCGGCUGGCGGGAACACAGGUGCUGCAUGGCUGUCGUCAGCUCGUGUCGUGAGGUGUUGGGUUAAGUCCCGCAACGAGCGCAACCCUCGCCCUUAGUUGCCAUCAUUUAGUUGGGCACUCUAAGGGGACUGCCGGUGAUAAGCCGCGAGGAAGGUGGGGAUGACGUCAAGUCCUCAUGGCCCUUACGGGCUGGGCUACACACGUGCUACAAUGGCGGUGACAGAGGGAUGCAAUGGAGCAAUCCUGCGCAAAUCUCAAAAAGCCGUCUCAGUUC
rnacentral:rRNA from 1 species